rnacentral:rRNA from 1 species
AGUGAACGCUGGCGGUAGGCCUAACACAUGCAAGUCGAACGGCAGCACAGUAAGAGCUUGCUCUUACGGGUGGCGAGUGGCGGACGGGUGAGGAAUACAUCGGAAUCUACUUUUUCGUGGGGGAUAACGUAGGGAAACUUACGCUAAUACCGCAUACGACCUACGGGUGAAAGCAGGGGAUCUUCGGACCUUGCGCGAUUGAAUGAGCCGAUGUCGGAUUAGCUAGUUGGCGGGGUAAAGGCCCACCAAGGCGACGAUGCGUAGCUGGUCUGAGAGGAUGAGCAGCCACACUGGAACUGAGACACGGUCCAGCCUCCUACGGGAGGCAGCAGUGGGGAAUAUUGGACAAUGGGCGCAAGCCUGAUCCAGCCAUACCGCGUGGGUGAAGAAGGCCUUCGGGUUGUAAAGCCCUUUUGUUGGGAAAGAAAAGCAGCAGGUUAAUACCCCGCUGUUCUGACGGUACCCAAAGAAUAAGCACCGGCUAACUUCGUG